GCUGACACAUUCCAGCCAAUCAGCAGCAGACCCUCCCUCCCAGACCCUCCCACCUCCUGGACAGCUCACUAAGAAUGCAGCUUCAAAAUGGAUGCUGUCCAGGAGUUGGGAGGGUCUGGGAGGGAGGGUCUGCUGCUGAUUGGCUGGAAUGUGUCAG